AGGAGUCAGAAGCAAUGAAGCCACUUCACUGAAACAUGCAGGCUCUGUUCUGCAAUGGAAAUGCACGCUGGCAAUGAUAGUCCUGUAAUCUUGAAGGGUUUUAUUUUAAAAGAAAGGAAUUCCUUCAACACUCCCCAAACACAGGACAAAAUUUAAGACCUGCAUUGACAGAGGGCCUUUUCAGAAUCUCAGGACGUCCCAAUUCACCUCAGCCAAUGAUACAUGUAGUCAUUCAUUGUACUGGAGGCGACACGGUAGUAAUAUACAGAGAGUAAAAUCGCACACAUGAACCUGAGCAACAAGCAGUCAUUAGGAAACCGACACCAGAUUUGUUAACCGAAAUAAACAGGAGCACGCGUGGAGCGGGGACCUCUAAAGACUUGGACAAUACAGAGAGAGCGAGACAAUCUACAUGUCGUGAUGUUCCGAGCUUUCAUGUAGAGAAGGGGGAGGGACUGCACAACCUUGCUAGUUUAGACCUAAUGAAUUAAAUGCCAGAAACACGUACAGUGAAAAGUGGAUAAUGUCACCAUGUUCCGGUGCUAUUUUUGAUUACAGAAUAAAUUACUGAAUAAACUGUAUAAAUGGAGGAAAAGAGCACGUAAGGGCAGGAAGAGUCAAAAUGGAUGAUGGACUGCCUGAUAUUUGGCUCCUUACCACUUACGUGGAGAGCACCUUGACUUGGAUCACCCUGACCAGCUGACUGAUCAUGUCCAAGCCUCUAGACUGGUAUCGGAGGCUCCCUUAGCCUUACUGUGCCUGGAGCCUCUAACUGAAGGCUAUCUUCCUAGACUUGACUGAAGACUGCCGAGAACCAUAAUAAGCAGCACUGUGAUAUCUUUGGCUGAAGGACAAGUUGUGAAAAGGCAAGGCAGUAAUGCUGUAAGCAAACAACUAAGCUCAAAAUUACCUGCUCGUGGAUCUCACAUGGAGAUCCCAUAUGAAAUCCUCAUGGCCUUGGCACAACUCUGAAGGUAACUUGAAGAAGCCAACAAUUACAACUUCAGCAGGAACAGCAAUCUCCAAUGAUUGGCACACUAACCCCAAAGGGAGAAGGAGCAAGUGAGGACCCAGCAAGGAGGUGGAGGAGAUUGAUGAGACCCUGCUUAAAAGCUGGAUGAACACUGUAAAGUGUCAUAUGUAUUUCUUUCUUUUUAUACACUGUUAUCUUGUAAAUAAAAAUAGUAAUUUAACAGUUUGAAAAAGAGAUCCUGCAAAUCACAUGCUCUGGGUAGAAUUUAUUAAAAUAAGUAAAACUGCCAGAAAUCGGCAGAAAUUCUCAGAACUGUGGAGGUGUUCCUUGCACAAUACUGGCUACAGAUGGUUUAAUCUGUACAGAGACUAUGUUUGCCUUUGCAUGCCUCCUUCAGUCAGCUGCUGGUCUGUUUUACCGCUCUUGAACAGGAUCGAUUUUGCUUUGCAUGUGAAAUUAAACAAGGAUUAGUUGGCUAAAUUAAAGAUGAUUUAUGAUAACUUUAGAUAAAGAAAACAUUAAUCUUUAGCGUAACUGGUUAAAAAGAAAAGUGAGUAUCCAAGGCCAUCCCAUCUUCCCCCAUGACUUUAGGGCAGAACCAUAUGCUUUACAGGGAAAACUG